rnacentral:tRNA from 1 species
UGUCUAGUGGACAUAAUCACUAGUGGACAUGGCAUCUGCCCGGUAAGCGGAACGUUGUGGGUUCGAUUCCCAUCCCUGGACAC